ACCUACGGGGGCAGCAGUUAGGAAUAUUGGGCAAUGGAGGAAACUCUGACCCAGCAACGCCGCGUGAAGGAAGAAGGUUUUCGGACUGUAAACUUCUGAUCUAAGGGAAAAAGAAAGUGAUGGUACCUUAGGAGAAAGCCACGGCUAACUACGUGCCAGCAGCCGCGGUAAUACGUAGGUGGCGAGCGUUGUCCGGAAUGACUGGGCGUAAAGGGAGCGUAGGUUGCAAUUUAAGUUAAAUGUGAAAGCCCGUGGCUCAACUACGGAACUGCAUUUAAUACUGGAUAGCUAGAGUACAGGAGGGG
rnacentral:rRNA from 1 species